GAGAAAAAAGAUAUAAUUAGCUAAGAAAAUUAUUUAUCUUGAGCAUGUUAAUAGUCUUCACUAAGGUUCUUGCCUCAUUACCCAUCAGCCUGUAGUCCUAUUUUGUCAUCUCUCAGCAUCCCUUCUACCACUUCUGCUCAAGGUUACCCAGUCUGGCAAAUUUUAGUCUUCAGUUGUAAUUGGCUCAUUUGGAUUUGCCGGAUAUUAAGCCUAUUUGGUUUUCCAGGAUAUUAAGCUAUUUAUAAAUACAAAACAAUGAGGUAACAAACAUAUAAAACACUUGGUAAAAAGACAGCAAAGAAACAAAAUAUCAUUUCUGAAUGGUAGCUCUCUGUGGGAUUUUUUUCCUCUCUUUUGGCUUUUCUAUAUUUUACAUAAUGAGAAACUGAAUUCAAUUAAGAAUCUUUCCAUUUUCAUCAUUUUAUUGCCUCUUAGGGGUCAGAACACGCAGAAUAGAAGAAACACUUACUUCAUUUCCUGACCAUCUCUUAUCACCACUGUCCACACUAUUGAAACCUGAAUCAAGGGCUCCAUAAGGGCGUCCUGAGUACAUUUCUUCAUGGCUGCCAAAAAAGAGUCUGGCUGUUACUGGGAAGUCUGAGGUUUUAAAAUUAACAUCUGAAAUAAACCGAAUGCAAUUUUACUAAUAAAC
rnacentral:lncRNA from 1 species